GUCGGGGUGGCUCAGCUUGGUCAGAGCGCCUGACUCAUAAGCUCAGCUCAAAGGUUCGUCUUGUAGCUAACGCUAAGAUAUCUGGAGGUCGCGGGUUCAAAUCCCGCCCCCGACA
rnacentral:tRNA from 1 species